UACGUAGGGCGCAAGCGUUGUCCGGAAUUAUUGGGCGUAAAGAGCUCGUAGGUGGUGUGUCGCGUCUGCCGUGAAAGCCCGGGGCUUAACCCCGGGCGUGCAGUGGAUACGGGCUGGCUAGAGGCAGGCAGGGGAGAACGGAAUUCCCGGUGUAGCGGUGAAAUGCGCAGAUAUCGGGAGGAACACCGGUGGCGAAGGCGGUUCUCUGGGCCUGUACUGACGCUGAGGAGCGAAAGCGUGGGGAGCAAACAGG
rnacentral:rRNA from 1 species